rnacentral:rRNA from 1 species
CCUACGGGAGGCAGCAGUGAGGAAUAUUGGUCAAUGGGCGAGAGCCUGAACCAGCCAAGUCGCGUGAGGGAGUACUGCCCUAUGGGUUGUAAACCUCUUUUGUCGGGGAGCAAAAGCCGGACGUGUCCGGCUGUGAGAGUACCCGAAGAAACAGCAUCGGCUAACUCCGUGCCAGCAGCCGCGGUAAUACGGAGGAUGCGAGCGUUAUCCGGAGUUAUUGGGUUUAAAGGGUGCGCAGGCGGAUUUUUAAGUCAGCGGUAAAAUCGGGGGGCUCAACCCCAUCCAGCCGUUGAAACUGGGGAUCUAGAGUGUGCGAGAGGUAUGCGGAAUGCGUGGUGUAGCGGUGAAAUGCAUAGAUAUCACGCAGAACCCCGAUUGCGAAGGCAGCAUACCGGUGCACAACUGACGCUCAGGCACGAAAGCGUGGGUAUCGAACAGGAUUAGAUACCCCUGUAGUC